GUGGGGAAUAUUGCACAAUGGGGGAAACCCUGAUGCAGCAACGCCGCGUGAGUGAAGAAGGUUUUCGGAUUGUAAAGCUCUGUUAGCAGGGAAGAGGAAGGACGGUACCUGCAGAGGAAGCCACGGCUAACUACGUGCCAGCAGCCGCGGUAAUACGUAGGUGGCAAGCGUUGUUCGGAAUAACUGGGCGUAAAGGAUGCGUAGGCGGUUAAAUAAGUUAUAUGUUAAAUAUAUAGGCUUAACCUGUAGAAAGCAUAUAAAACUGUUUAACUAGAGUGCAGGAGAGGUAAGUGGAAUUCCUAGUGUAGCGGUGAAAUGCGUAGAGAUUAGGAAGAACACCAGUGGCGAAGGCGACUUACUGGACUGUAACUGACGCUGAGGCAUGAGAGCAUGGGGAGCAAACAGG
rnacentral:rRNA from 1 species